ACGGGGGGGGCAAGCGUUGUUCGGAAUUACUGGGCGUAAAGGGUUCGUAGGUGGCCAACUAAGUCAUACGUGAAAUCCCUCAGCUUAACUGGGGAACUGCGUCUGAUACUGGUUGGCUUGAGUGCAGGAGAGGAACGCGGAAUUCCAGGUGUAGCGGUGAAAUGCGUAGAUAUCUGGAGGAACACCGGUGGCGAAGGCGGCGUUCUGGACUGUAACUGACACUGAGGAACGAAAGCCAGGGGAGCAAACGGGAUUAGAUACCCCGGUAGUCCUGGCCCUAAACGAUGAAUGCUUGGUGUGGCGGGUAUCGAUCCCUGCCGUGCCGAAGCUAACGCGAUAAGCAUUCCGCCUGGGGAGUACGGUCGCAAGGCUG
rnacentral:rRNA from 1 species